ensembl:lncRNA
CCUGGUGUAAGUCAGUGGUGUUAAGUGCAUUAGUCCAGGUGUCUAUGAGCUCAUACACUCAAUCACUGGUCUUUAAGGUCUGCGUGUCUCGCUCUGGAGGCUCCUUACAAAUUAUUUUAGUGGAUUUACAAAUUAUACACCCUUCCUAACGAGUGCUGGAGUCUGUGGUGUGUUAUUAUCUCAUAAAGCAAUGUUAUUUCUGGUCCAUAUUGAGGUCGACACCUCACAUAGUCUUUUCUGCCUUUCACUUUUCCGGAAAUCUCGAUCUCUCUGUUACCUCCUUUGUGCUUACAGGGUUACAGGUAUGGCUCGGAUUUUCCUCUGUUUUGCUUUUACUGAUCAAGUGCUAGUUUAAUCAGGCAGCUGUUUAGAUAGGAUGAUGAAUUGUAGGGCAGCAAAUAAAAAAAGCUUCUUGAAUCCCAGUUGCUAUGUGCCAGAGCUUGGUUUGCCUUCAGAUCCCUGCAUGAGCGCAAUUAAAACUAUUUUUAAUGCCGCGCUGGUUUUUCCAAGCCGGGGCGCCUGCUUAGGGACGCCAUCUUUUUUCACCAUAGAGAAGUCCUUAUUAUGCACUGUUACUCUCUGACUUUAUUUGCUUUGACAAGAUUUUAUUUCGUGGGUCAAGUUCAAAGAAUCUCUCCCCUCUCGCUCAUAAUCCCUGGUUCUGAAAAAAGGAAGGAAAGAAAAAGAAAAAGGACGAGAAAUAUGCAGAGGUUAUUUUCGCCCUGGAGGAAUGAAUCAGGAAAAAGAGAGAGAGAGCGAGAGAGAAGAGGCUGAUUGAAAGCAUUUAACCCUUUGUAGGCCAGCAGGGUAAUAACCUUUAUGAAAUAAACCCAGAUUGUGAACAUCAUCGAGGUCAGAUUGUUAAGAGCGGAGACGUGAUUCGAAGUCCACAUGUUCGAACUGUAAAAAAAAACCACAAGUAUUUUGUUCGUGUAGCGAAAACAGAUGUGUGUCUCUGAGAAAGAAGAAAGAAAAAAGAGCUACUGGACUUGUUGCGGCUGUCGAAGUAUUUUUCUCAGACCGCCCUGACCCGCAUUCCAAACAGCACCAGACUGUGUUUGAGAAUUAAAUCACAACUUUAUUUUAUUCAGAACUUUUUAAUUAAACAGUGAUGUGCGGUUCAUCACCAAAAAGUUCUGAAUUCUUCCUAAAAGUUUGACAUGUUGUUCUUUGAGAAAUAAUAAAAAUUGUGCUAUCAGAGAAAUGAAAGAAGUAGAGGUGUGCUGUUAUAGGAAAACAAUCAACUUCACGGAUUGAAGAGGAACUCCAUCACUAGGUGUUUUAUUGCGUAUGUAUAAUGAUGGAGCUGAUUCCCCACUCUAGAGCUUUGCGGCUAAAGUAAUGGCAGCCCAUAGCCACCAGUUCAGCACUGUGCACUUACUCACUGUAUGUGAUUUUGCUAAAUGCUAAACUAGCACCACUUUGCUAAUCAAAUCUUUUAAAAGAACAUUCUAAUUGGAUGACAUUUUCGUCUUUAACCUCUGCAGCAUUUAUUUCUCGCUGUAAACGACGUGAUCUUCAUACUGGUCUCAAAUCAAGACUUAGAUCCAGGUUUUCUUCCUUUUUUCAGAAGCACCAAUGCUUCGUACGUAGCCACGAUGAUUAACGGCUCACUAGCUCAUGCUUACUUAGCGAUCAUGCUCACCCUUCCUGAAAGUGAGCACAGGAGCUCAGAAACUUUCGUCCACUUUGAUUUAUUUUUUUUUGUAUUUUUUGUGAAGGCGGAUUUUAACGAAUAGCUGUGGAUUUAACGCGUCAUGUUUCAUAAAACUGUACAGACUCUCUCUCUCGCUCUCGCUCACUCUCUCUCUUUCUCUCUCUCUCGCUCUCACAUGCGCUCUCUCUCUCUCACUCUCUCUCUCGCUCUCUCUUGCUCUCACAUGCACUCUCUCUCUCACUCUCUCUCUCUGUUUCUUUCUCUCUCUUUCUCUCUCUCUGGUGGAUUUUAUUCUCCAAUGUUCACUGAUUGAGUCCAGACUGUUUUUUUUUUUGUUCCGAAAUUCAUGACGAAUGUUUUUAAUCAUCAGCUGCACCGCUAAAGUUUCAGAGAAAGAAAGCAGGAGUGGAAAUUACCGAAAAGACAUUUCGCGGUAUUUUUUUUUGCAUUAUAAUGACUUGGUGACUCAGAUGUUGAUGUUUUGUAUUUAUUUGUAGAAGGUUUAUUCGGUGGGUCUGCACUGAUCCAGACCAGAAUAAUUAGCAGAAAUGGUGUUGAGGUGGGUUUAAAAAAUUUUUUAUAAAUAAAAAAAAUGCUGUUUUGGUAUGUCCUCAAAUCUUUAGUUCCAUUUAGAGGAAGUGGAACCUUCCCAAUAUCAAUCCUUAUUUAAUUAUUAAUUAUUUAAUUAUUUAAUUUUACUAAAGAACACACACUUGCUUAUUUUGGGAAAAGAAACAAACAAAAAAAGCCAUAACGUCUAUAAAUCUCUAGCAUUUUGAUUAUUAUCUUUACCUCCAGCUCUAAAACAUCAUCAUCACGACCCUGUAAACCUUUCCUUUAUAUUCUGGGUUAAACCAGAUAAACCCGAGAGAUCCACUGCAACCAAAGCCACUUUUUCUUCAUCUUUUUUAUUUUAUUUCAGGAUCUCAUUGUUGUGUCAUGUACGUGCCUUGAAAAUGAAUUUACAAUGUAGUCCUCGACACCUUUAAUGUUUUUUGCACAAAUUGUACAUAACGAAGUUUUUUGUUUGUUUGUUUUUGUUUUUUUUAAAUAAAGAACUUGGAUUUGAACGGUGGUGAGUUUGUGCUUGUGUUUAAACCUCUGAAUAAAACAGCAGAAGGUUCUUCUUUAGAAAGAUUUUAAGAUUUCAAAAGGCGGUGCUCGAGCUAACAUUAGCAACUCAGCUCGAACGAUCCAGUU